AUCCAUCUAACGAGUCCCAGAUAGGACAAAACGCGCGUCAAACUGGAU
rfam:Schistosoma mansoni strain Puerto Rico chromosome W, complete genome